AAACGAAAGCAAGUCAAAAACACAGAAGAAAAACAAGAGGCAGAAUCUAAUGGACAAGAAAGUACAUAAAAUAUUGCUGUCAUAAGAUAAUUGAAGAUUUUCUACAACCAAAAAAGGCUUAAUCAAGACUUCAAGCGUUCUGCAUGAAAACGCUAUUUUUCUCCACACAAGAUAUCUUGGUAUCAAACAUUGCAGUGCCAUCUCUGAAUACAUUGCUAUACCUUUCGAGAUUGCUUACCUUACCUUUGAAGAGUCCUUACCUUACUGAAAUAUUUUGAUUUGGGUCAUGAGAGGCGAGCGGCUAAAGUGAGCAGCGCCGGUGGUUAACAGAGAUAGACGAGAGUAAGAGCUAAGGCGCCGAGCGAAGUCGUGGAGAGGCAGAGUUGAUGGGGAAAUUUUGGAAAAAUGCCACAUAUAGGGCUUUGUAAAGUUGCAAAUUUUUUAUAAUACACGGCGUGAACUAAAAACACGCCCUAAAUACUCAUUUAAUACACCGUGCAGAGG
rnacentral:lncRNA from 1 species